GUGGCUGUAGUUCAGAGGCAGAACGCCGCCCUGUGGAGGCGGAUAUCGUGGGUUCGAGUCCCAUCAGCCACC
rnacentral:tRNA from 1 species